rnacentral:rRNA from 1 species
GUCUUUUUGGGUAUAAUUUAAAGUCUAAUCUGCCCACUGAUAAUAUUAAAGGGCUGCAGUAUAAUGACUGUACAAAGGUAGCAUAAUCAAUAGUUUUUUAAUUGGAAACUUGUAUGAAAGAUUUGAUGAAAUAUAAACUGUCUCUUAUUUAUUUUUAGAAAUUUAUUUUUUAGUAAAAAAGCUAAAAUAAUUUUAAAAGACGAGAAGACCCUAUAGAGUUUUAUAUUUAAUUAUAUUUUAAAAUUAUAUUAAAGGUUUUAUUAAAAUAUAAUUAAAUAUUAUAUUGGGGUGAUAGAAAAAUUAAAUAAACUUUUUUUAAAAAUUAAACAUAAAUAAAUGAUUAAAUGAUCCAUUAAUAAUGAUUACAAGAAAAAAUUACCUUAGG